UCGACGCUUCUUUUUCACCGGAGCUUGCUCCCCGGAAAAAGAGGAGUGGCGAACGGGUGAGUAACACGUGGGUAACCUGCCCAUCAGAAGGGGAUAACACUUGGAAACAGGUGCUAAUACCGUAUAACAAUCAAAACCGCAUGGUUUUGAUUUGAAAGGCGCUUUCGGGCGUCGCUGAUGGAUGGACCCGCGGUGCAUUAGCUAGUUGGUGAGGUAACGGCUCACCAAGGCCACGAUGCAUAGCCGACCUGAGAGGGUGAUCGGCCACAUUGGGACUGAGACACGGCCCAAACUCCUACGGGAGGCAGCAGUAGGGAAUCUUCGGCAAUGGACGAAAGUCUGACCGAGCAACGCCGCGUGAGUGAAGAAGGUUUUCGGAUCGUAAAACUCUGUUGUUAGAGAAGAACAAGGAUGAGAGUAACUGUUCAUCCCUUGACGGUAUCUAACCAGAAAGCCACGGCUAACUACGUGCCAGCAGCCGCGGUAAUACGUAGGUGGCAAGCGUUGUCCGGAUUUAUUGGGCGUAAAGCGAGCGCAGGCGGUUUCUUAAGUCUGAUGUGAAAGCCCCCGGCUCAACCGGGGAGGGUCAUUGGAAACUGGGAGACUUGAGUGCAGAAGAGGAGAGUGGAAUUCCAUGUGUAGCGGUGAAAUGCGUAGAUAUAUGGAGGAACCCAGUGGCGAGGCGGCUCUCUGGUCUGUACUGACGC
rnacentral:rRNA from 1 species